UACGUAGGGUGCAAGCGUUGUCCGGAAUUAUUGGGCGUAAAGAGCUCGUAGGCGGCUCGUCGCGUCGGCUGUGAAAACCUGGGGCUCAACCCCGGGCCUGCAGCCGAUACGGGCGAGCUAGAAUUCGGUAGGGGAGACUGGAAUUCCUGGUGUAGCGGUGAAAUGCGCAGAUAUCAGGAGGAACACCGAUGGCGAAGGCAGGUCUCUGGGCCACUACUGACGCUGAGAAGCGAAAGCAUGGGGAGCGAACAGG
rnacentral:rRNA from 1 species